UAGGUCGUUCCUGACUUCAGUUCUCCUCACAAGAAGACUAGCACUAUCCGUAGACAAGACAGCAUUGUGAUGAUUUUAGAACCUGGGAACGCGGCUGAAGCACCCUCCUGGACCACAGAUACUGAGGAGGACCACAAUAGAACUGUAAGAAGAGCGCCUACACUGACCGCACCUUCUGCCCUCGGGGCUGCACAAAAUCCACUGGAGACCUACGGUUUCUCCAGUGGGAAAAGAGACAAGGUGAACAUCGAGCUUCCCCAGUCUUGAGGGAUGCUUCCCAGGAGGGUCACUAGAGUCUCGCCUAAUGAGUAUCGCUGUGGGACUCUGUGGGGUUCUACCACCGGGAAUCAAAUGGAGACAGAGAAGGAGGCGGGGCUUACAACAGCCAGUACUCAGAACUCGGGGGACCGCGUGCCUGAUUGUAGUGGCGGCAGGCAGAGAUUCCAGCCAGUGGCUCUGCCCGUCCGCAGAGCCAAGUCAGUGACCCCAUCUGGCCAGGCUGCUCGGUUGGCAGUUCUGCCAGAUUUGGGUUCCCAUAAAAUGGGCUAUACUCGCCAGUGGAGCCUGGUCUACCACCCCGCCCAGGAAGGGAGGCAAAUUCGCAGCCCCGUCCAACUGUGGAGCAUAGGUUCCAGUGACGUCGAUUCCAGGAGCCUGGCCAGGGAACUAGGGCAGCCCUGGAGCCCAUUCUGCAGCCCCGCUUGGGCAGGGAGCCAAGCCAGCAGCCCUGCCCCAACUGUUGAGCAUAGUUUCUGGCCUCGCAUAACCAGGGAGCCUGAACAGUAACCCUGGGCAAACUCAGAGCCCAGCCCAGGGCACCACAGAGCUGGGGAGCCCAGCCUACAGCCCUGACCAGCAGCAGAGCAGCUUACCGCCUGCUGGAUUGCUGAAUAGUCUGAGGCCUCACCAGGCAGGGAGGCCAGCCAGUGACCUUGCCCAAUCGUGGAGCUUAGCCUGUGGCUAAACCCAAAAAAGGAGCCUGGACAGCGACCCCACGAGACCAUAGGGCACAGUCUCCAGCCCAACUUCCAGAUACAGCUGGAGGCUCCUCUGGACUGGUGAGCCAGGCCAGAGAACUUGCCCAGCAGCAGAGCACAGGCAGGGGUCUAUAGGACCUUGAACCCCCACCUACAGCUCAGUCCAACUCCUGGGUAUAGCCUGUAGCCCCACCUGAUUGCACAGCACAGCCUGAGGCCCUGCCUGUGGCCCCACAUGAAUCUGGAGUUCAGCCUGCAGCACCAUUUGGUCGGGGAACACAGCCUGAGAACCCACCCGGCCAGCAGUGAUUGUGGAGCCCAGCUCAUAGCCCUGCCCAAUCACGGAGUCCAACCAGUGGUACCCUCCUGCCAGGGAACACAGCCUGUGACCUGGUCCAACCAGAGGAAGAAGUCUACAUUGGUACGUACUGGAAGAUGAAGUGAGUUUGAUCCAAAGGUAUCCAUACGUGUCACCUGCUCCCAAGAGAAGUCCUGCCAUAUCCAAACCUGCUGUGUUAGAGAUGAGCUUUGAACCCUGCCAUUUGCUAAAAGGCCAUCCUCGUCUUCUUUCUCCAUCUCAGAGAGGGCACACCAGGGAUGAGGCUAUCAUUCCUCUUCAGCUCAACACUGUCAUCCCUUCCUCCUCAAGGAAAAUUUAUCUGUAUACUCUUUCAUGAAUCUACAUUCCCCCUAAAGCUUGAAAUUUUCUUCAGGGUUCCAGAUUUACGCACAAAAGUUUGGCUGUCCCAUCUCUAAGGAUACGUGCAGAAAAGAGUUAAACAUAGCAGGCCUGAGACUGCUAUCCUUAGAAAGGCCUGUUUGCAUGAUUGGCUCUUGGCUAGUAUUUAGGAACUUGGAUUUCUCGAAUAUUCCUACCAUUCCCUAACUAAUAAAAGAGUGUCUCACUGUGCCUAAUCUGUUUGUGCAAACAAUAUGGUUGAUGCAGAACACAUGCUUUACUUCUGGGAGUCUGGAAUUUUGGCAGAGGUACAGAGUGUCUAUGUGACCAGUCUCCAAUCAAAACUUUGGGCACUGAGUCUCUCAUGAGCUUUGCUCGUAGACAGCACUGCACAUGUGUUGUCACAAUUCACUGCUAGGGGAAGUAAGUCCUGUGUGACUGCACUGGGAAAGAACUCUUGGAAGCUUGUACCUGGUUUCCUUUGGACUUUGCUGCAUGUGCUUCUUCCCUUUUUUGAUUUUUCUUUGCAUCCUUUUGCUUGAAUAUAUAUUAGGCAUGCAUCCAACUAUCUGCUGAGUCCUGUGAGACUUCCUAGUGAAUCACUCAAACUGACAGUAUCUUGG
rnacentral:lncRNA from 1 species